UUGCUUAUAAAUAUUAAAUAUUUAAAUUUUUUAUUAUAAAAUAAAAAGUUAACAUUAAAAAGAAACCCUCGAUGUUUUUUCUAAGUGUUGAGUUUCCCACCCAUUCUCACACCAAACUCUUCUCUCGUAAAACCACCUGAAACCCUAGCCUUCUUACAGCCACUCUCAAUCGACUUAGGUAGAUGCUCACAUCCAUAGCCAUGAAGCGUUCGAAUUGGGCUGUGUUUCUUGAUGCAACAGAAGCGUGGCGGCGCUCAUGGCUCUGCUAGUUGCACCCGAGGCUCCAAUGUGGGUUGACGGCAUGUGAUGACCACAAAA
rnacentral:lncRNA from 1 species